rnacentral:rRNA from 1 species
AUUGAACGCUGGCGGCAGGCCUAACACAUGCAAGUCGAACGAGUGGCGGACGGGUGAGUAAUGUCUGGGAAACUGCCUGAUGGAGGGGGAUAACUACUGGAAACGGUAGCUAAUAACGCAUAACAUCGGAUGUGACCAGCUGGGAUGAGCUAGUAGGUGGGGUAACGGCUCACCUAGGCGACGAUCCCUAGCUGGUCUGAGAGGAUGACCAGCCACACUGGAACUGAGACACGGUCCAGACUCCUACGGGAGGUAGCAGUGGGGAAGAUUGCACAAUGGGCGCAAGCCUGAUGCAGCCAUGCCGCGUGUAUGAAGAAGGCCUUCGGGUUGUAAAGUACUUUCAGCGGGGAGGCGUUACCCGCAGAAGAAGCACCGGCUAACUCCGUGCCAGCAGCCGCGGUAAUUC